CCCAGACUCCUACGGGAGGCAGCAGUGAGGAAUAUUGGUCAAUGGGCGCGAGCCUGAACCAGCCAAGUCGCGUGAGGGAAGACGGUCCUAUGGAUUGUAAACCUCUUUUGUCGGGGAGCAAAAGACGCCACGUGUGGCGUUCCGAGGGUACCCGAAGAAAAAGCAUCGGCUAACUCCGUGCCAGCAGCCGCGGUGAUACGGAGGAUGCGAGCGUUAUCCGGAUUUAUUGGGUUUAAAGGGUGCGCAGGCGGAAGAUAAGGUCAGGGGUAAAAUUGAGGGGCCCAACCUCUUCGAGCCGUUGAAACUGGUUUUCUUGAGUGAGCGAGAAGUAUGCGGAAUGCGUGGUGUAGCGGUGAAAUGCAUAGAUAUCACGCAGAACUCCGAUUGCGAAGGCAGCAUACCGGUGCACAACUGACGCUCAGGCACGAAAGCGUGGGUAUCGAACAGGAUUAGAUACCCCUGUA
rnacentral:rRNA from 1 species